GUGCUUGCACAGCCUAGCCAAGGCGGACGGGUGAGUAACGCGUAAAGAACUUGCCCUGCAGACGGGGAUAACAGACGGAAACGACUGACAACACCUGAUACAGUUGCCGGCACGCAUGUGCCCGGCAAUGAAAAGAGAUGCUGCAGGAGAGCUUUGCGUCCUAUUAGCUUGUUGGUGAGGUGACGGCUCACCAAGGCGAUGAUAGGUAGCCGGCCUGAGAGGGUGAACGGCCACAAGGGGACUGAGAUACGGCCCUUACUCCUACGGGAGGCAGCAGUGGGGAAUAUUGGACAAUGGGGGCAACCCUGAUCCAGCAAUUCUGUGUGCACGAAGAAGGUUUUCGGAUUGUAAAGUGCUUUCAGCAGGGAAGAAGAAAGUGACGGUACCUGCAGAAGAAGCGACGGCUAAAUACGUGCCAGCAGCCGCGGUAAUACGUAUGUCGCAAGCGUUAUCCGGAAUUAUUGGGCAUAAAGGGCAUCUAGGCGGCCAGACAAGUCUGGGGUGAAAACUUGCGGCUCAACCGCAAGCCUGCCCUGGAAACUGUCUGGCUAGAGUGCUGGAGAGGUGGACGGAACUGCACGAGUAGAGGUGAAAUUCGUAGAUAUGUGCAGGAAUGCCGAUGAUAAAGAUAGUUCACUGGACGGCAACUGACGCUGAAGUGCGAAAGCUAGGGGAGCGAACAGGAUUAGAUACCCUGGUAGUCCUAGCUGUAAACGAUGAUUACUGGGUGUGGGCAUGAAGAGUGUCCGUGCCGAA
rnacentral:rRNA from 1 species